AAAAAUACGAUCAUAUUACCUCAUAUAUUUCUGGAAUAAGGCCGGAAGUUUCUACCCAGCACCGAGAAUGCUGGACUAUGAGGGAAGGUGAAAAUGUG
rfam:Bacilli bacterium VT-13-104 contig040, whole genome shotgun sequence.